AACGGUGAAGCAGAGCUUGCUCUGUGGAUCAGUGGCGAACGGGUGAGUAACACGUGAGCAACCUGCCCCGGACUCUGGGAUAACAGUUGGAAACAGCUGCUAAUACCGGAUACGAGCUGCGAAGGCAUCUUCGGCAGCUGGAAAGAAUUUCGGUCUGGGAUGGGCUCGCGGCCUAUCAGCUUGUUGGUGAGGUAAUGGCUCACCAAGGCGUCGACGGGUAGCCGGCCUGAGAGGGUGACCGGCCACACUGGGACUGAGACACGGCCCAGACUCCUACGGGAGGCAGCAGUGGGGAAUAUUGCACAAUGGGCGAAAGCCUGAUGCAGCAACGCCGCGUGAGGGAUGACGGCCUUCGGGUUGUAAACCUCUUUUAGCAGGGAAGAAGCGAAAGUGACGGUACCUGCAGAAAAAGCGCCGGCUAACUACGUGCCAGCAGCCGCGGUAAUACGUAGGGCGCAAGCGUUAUCCGGAAUUAUUGGGCGUAAAGAGCUCGUAGGCGGUUUGUCGCGUCUGCUGUGAAAUCCCGAGGCUCAACCUCGGGCCUGCAGUGGGUACGGGCAGACUAGAGUGCGGUAGGGGAGAUUGGAAUUCCUGGUGUAGCGGUGGAAUGCGCAGAUAUCAGGAGGAACACCGAUGGCGAAGGCAGAUCUCUGGGCCGUAACUGACGCUGAGGAGCGAAAGGGUGGGGAGCAAACAGGCUUAGAUACCCUGGUAGUCCACCCCGUAAACGUUGGGAACUAGUUGUGGGGUCCAUUCCACGGAUUCCGUGACGCAGCUAACGCAUUAAGUUCCCCGCCUGGGGAGUACGGCCGCAAGGCUAAAACUCAAAGGAAUUGACGGGGACCCGCACAAGCGGCGGAGCAUGCGGAUUAAUUCGAUGCAACGCGAAGAACCUUACCAAGGCUUGACAUAUAGAGGAAACGGCUGGAAACAGUCGCCCCGCAAGGUCUCUAUACAGGUGGUGCAUGGUU
rnacentral:rRNA from 1 species